rnacentral:rRNA from 1 species
GACGAACGUCGGCGGCGUGCUUAACACAUGUAAGUCGAAUGGAAAGGCUCUGCUUUUGUGGGUCGUUCGAGUGGCGAUGGGGCGAGUAACAUGUGAGUAACCUGCCCUUGACUUUGGGUAAAUUACAGGAUACUGGGGCUAUUACAGGAUAGGAGCUCCUGCUGCAUGGUCGGGGUUGGCAAGUUUCGGAGGUCGGGGUUGGACUUGCGGCUAAUCAGUUUGUUGGUGCGGUAGUCGCUUCCCAAGGCUUUGAUGGGUAGACGGCCUGAAAGGGUGACCGGCCACAUUGGACCUGACAUACCGCCGAGACUCCUACGGGGGUCAGCAGUGGGGAAUAUUGCACAAUGGGCGGAAGCCUGAUGCAGCAACUCCACAUGCGAGAUGACGGCCUUCGGUUUGUAAGCCGCUUUCACCUGUGACGAAGCGUGAGUGAGGGUAAUGGGUAAAGAAGCACCGGCUAACUACGAG